rnacentral:lncRNA from 1 species
UUACUAAAAAAAAAAUCUUAUCCUAAAAAACUAUUCCAACCACCCCCACUUUUUCCAAAAAGAGGGAGAAGGAAGAGAACAACAUUGAAAAAAAAAAAAGAGACACAAACCCAAAACUUAAAAUAAAAAAGUGAAGAGAAACCAAAAAGGAAAAACCAUGUACAACAUAGACAUGCACAACAAAUAUGAAAAGAGUGAGACACAGAGAGAAAAUAAAAGAAAAGACAGAAACGGGUGACAAUCAGAAAAGGAGAAAAAUGGAAGAAAAAGAAAGGAAAAAGUGGAGGUCGGGUAUCCGGUUGAGUUUUCGGUCAUAGUGUGAUCAGAGGCGGACCUACGUGGUAGCGAGGGGGUUCACCCGAACCUCCUCGGCAAAAAAUUACGACGUAUACAUAAAGUAGAAAAUCUAUAUUUAUGUACAUAUAUUAAUUUUGAACCACCUGACACAAGGUUGUUGGAUAGCUUAGUGGUACUUUCUCCCCUUCUUAGGGCACUACCACAACCCUUGUCGUGGGUUCGAUCCCCACCAGGCUGCGGGUUCGAUCCUCACUAAGCUGCAUAUUUUUAUAAAUAAACUGUAACUAUAUAAAAAAAAUUAAGUCGCCUACAACCAUUAGCUAUUAAAAAAUAGAUGCAUACCUCACCUGCUAUAUAUAUAUAAAAAAAACUUUUUAAUAAUUUAAAAUAUAAAAUCAACAAAAAAACUUAAAACCCUUUUUUUCUUUUUCCUAUAUACUAUUACGUCCCUUGAAAUUAUAUUUUGUUGAAUAAUUCACAUAUUUAUAUUUUUAUUUUUCGAACCCCCUGA